rnacentral:ncRNA from 1 species
GAUCACUUUUGGCAAAACCAGGGUAACCUGGCGACGCAAAGCUAUAGGGCCCCACGGGGUAGCCAGUUGCAUCU